AACGACUGCUAAUACCGCAUAAGCCCACGGGUCGGCAUCGACCAGAGGGAAAAGGAGCAAUCCGCUUUGAGAUGGCCUCGCGUCCGAUUAGCUAGUUGGUGAGGUAACAGCCCACCAAGGCGACGAUCGGUAGCCGGACUGAGAGGUUGAACGGCCACAUUGGGACUGAGACACGGCCCAGACUCCUACGGGAGGCAGCAGUGGGGAAUAUUGCACAAUGGGGGAAACCCUGAUGCAGCGACGCCGCGUGGAGGAAGAAGGUCUUCGGAUUGUAAACUCCUGUUGUUGAGGAAGAUAAUGACGGUACUCAACAAGGAAGUGACGGCUAACUACGUGCCAGCAGCCGCGGUAAAACGUAGGUCACAAGCGUUGUCCGGAAUUACUGGGUGUAAAGGGAGCGCAGGCGGGAAGACAAGUUGGAAGUGAAAUCCAUGGGCUUAACCCAUGAACUGCUUUCAAAACUGUUUUUCUUGAGUAGUGCAGAGGUAGGCGGAAUUCCCGGUGUAGCGGUGGAAUGCGUAGAUAUCGGGAGGAACACCAGUGGCGAAGGCGGCCUACUGGGCACCAACUGACGCUGAGGCUCGAAAGUGUGGGUAGCAAACAGGAUUAGAUACCCUGGUAGUCCACACCGUAAACGAUGAUUACUAGGUGUUGGAGGAUUGACCCCUUCAGUGCCGCAGUUAACACAAUAAGUAAUCCACCUGGGGAGUACGACCGCAAGGUUGAAACUCAAAGGAAUUGACGGGGGCCCGCACAAGCAGUGGAGUAUGUGGUUUAAUUCGACGCAACGCGAAGAACCUUACCAAGUCUUGACAUCCUGUGACAGACGUAGAAAUACGUUCUUCCUUCGGGACACAGAGACAGGUGGUGCAUGGUUGUCGUCAGCUCGUGUCGUGAGAUGUUGGGUUAAGUCCCGCAACGAGCGCAACCCUUAUGGUCAGUUACUACGCAAGAGGACUCUGGCCAGACUGCCGUUGACAAAACGGAGGAAGGUGGGGAUGACGUCAAAUCAUCAUGCCCUUUAUGACUUGGGCUACACACGUACUACAAUGGCGUUAAACAAAGAGAAGCAAGACCGCGAGGUGGAGCAAAACUCAGAAACAACGUCCCAGUUCGGACUGCAGGCUGCAACUCGCCUGCACGAAGUCGGAAUUGCUAGUAAUCGUGGAUCAGCAUGCCACGGUGAAUACGUUCCCGGGCCUUGUACACACCGCCCGUCACACCAUGAGAGCCGGGGGGACCCGAAGUCGGUAGUCUAACCGCAAGGAGGACGCCGCCGAAGGUAAAACUGGUGAUUGGGGUGAAGUCGGAACAAGGU
rnacentral:rRNA from 1 species